rnacentral:rRNA from 1 species
GGAUCUGCACAACCAGUGGAGCAUGUGGUUUAAUUCGAGACAAACCGAAGAACCUUACCCGGGUUUGACAUGGUACCCUUUAGAUUGCCGGAGACGGUGAUUAAUUCCUAAGCAAUUAGGAAAGGUAUCACAGGUGCUGCAUGGCUGUCGUCAGCUCGUGCCGUGGGGUGUUCCCUUCAGUGGGGUAACGAGCGCAACCCCUGCCCCGAUUUAAAUAUCAUCGGGGGACUCUCUGAUUUUAUAUCGGAGGGAAGUGGGGACGACGUCAAGUCAGCAUGGCCCUUAUGUCCGGGGCAACACACAUGCUACAAUGGCGCCUAACAAUGGGUGGCCAAGCCGUAAGGCGGAGCUAAUCCCAUCAAACGGCGUCUCAGUGGGGAUUGAGGGCUGAAACUCGCCCUCAUGAACGCGGAAUUGGUAGUAAUCGGAGAUCAGCCAAGCUCCGGUGAAUACGUUCUCAGGUCUU